rnacentral:rRNA from 1 species
UACGUAGGGGGCAAGCGUUGUCCGGAUUUACUGGGCGUAAAGGGCGUGCAGGCGGUCUGUUAAGUGCAGGGUGAAAGCUCCCGGCUCAACUGGGAGAGGUCCUUGCAUACUGGCGGACUUGAGGGGGGUAGAGGAAAGUGGAAUUCCUGGUGUAGCGGUGAAAUGCGCAGAUAUCAGGAAGAACACCCGUGGCGAAGGCGGCUCUCUGGGACGGUACUGACGCUGAGACGCGAAAGCGUGGGGAGCGAACAGG